AGUGAACGCUGGCGGUAGGCCUAACACAUGCAAGUCGAACGGCAGCACAGUAAGAGCUUGCUCUUACGGGUGGCGAGUGGCGGACGGGUGAGGAAUACAUCGGAAUCUACUUUUUCGUGGGGGAUAACGUAGGGAAACUUACGCUAAUACCGCAUACGACCUACGGGUGAAAGCAGGGGAUCUUCGGACCUUGCGCGAUUGAAUGAGCCGAUGUCGGAUUAGCUAGUUGGCGGGGUAAAGGCCCACCAAGGCGACGAUCCGUAGCUGGUCUGAGAGGAUGAUCAGCCACACUGGAACUGAGAAACGGUCCAGACUCCUACGGGAGGCAGCAGUGGGGAAUAUUGGACAAUGGGCGCAAGCCUGAUCCAGCAAUACCGCGUGGGUGAAGAAGGCCUUCGGGUUGUAAAGCCAUUUUGUUGGGAAAGAAAAGCAGCAGGUUAAUACCCCGAUGUACUGACGGUACCAAAAGAAUAAGCACCGGCUAACUUCGUG
rnacentral:rRNA from 1 species